rnacentral:rRNA from 1 species
UACGUAGGGUGCAAGCGUUUGUCCGGAAUUAUUGGGCGUAAAGAGCUCGUAGGCGGUUUGUCGCGUCUGCUGUGAAAACUCGGGGCUUAACCCCGGGCCUGCAGUGGGUACGGGCAGACUAGAGUGCGGUAGGGGGAGACUGGAAUUCCUGGUGUAGCAGUGAAAUGCGUAGAUAUCAGGAGGAAUACCGAUGGCGAAGGCAGGUCUCUGGGCUGACACUGACGCUCAUGCACGAAAAGCGUGGGGAGCAAACAGG